rnacentral:rRNA from 1 species
CCUACGGGGGGCAGCAGUGAGGAAUAUUGGUCAAUGGACGAGAGUCUGAACCAGCCAAGUAGCGUGAAGGAUGACUGCCCUAUGGGUUGUAAACUUCUUUUAUAAAGGAAUAAAACGAGGCACGUGUGCCUUUUUGCAUGUACUUUAUGAAUAAGGAUCGGCUAACUCCGUGCCGGCAGCCGCGGUAAUACGGAGGAUCCGAGCGUUAUCCGGAUUUAUUGGGUUUAAAGGGAGCGUAGAUGGGUUGUUAAGUCAGUUGUGAAAGUUUGCGGCUCAACCGUAAAAUUGCAAUUGAUACUGGCAGUCGUGAGUACAGUUGAGGUAGGCGGAAUUCGUGGUGUAGCGGUGAAAUGCUUAGAUAUCACGAAGAACCCCGAUUGCGAAGGCAGCUUACUAAACUGUGACUGACAUUGAUGCUCGAAAGUGUGGGUAUCAAACAGGAUUAGAUACCCGAGUAGUC